rnacentral:rRNA from 1 species
UACGUAGGGUGCAAGCGUUGUCCGGAAUUAUUGGGCGUAAAGAGCUCGUAGGCGGUUUGUCGCGUCUGCUGUGAAAACCCGAGGCUCAACCUCGGGCCUGCAGUGGGUACGGGCAGACUAGAGUGCGGUAGGGAGAUUGGAAUUCCUGGUGUAGCGGUGAAAUGCGCAGAUAUCAGGAAGAACACCCGUGGCGAAAGCGGCUCUCUGAACGGUACUGACGCUGAGACGCGAAAGCGUGGGAGCGAACAGGAUAGAUAC